rnacentral:rRNA from 1 species
CCUACGGGUGGCAGCAGUGAGGAAUAUUGGUCAAUGGGCGAGAGCCUGAACCAGCCAAGCCGCGUGAAGGAUGAAGGAUCCAUGGUUUGUAAACUUCUUUUAUCUGGGGACAAAGUGAGGAACGCGUUCCUUAUUGUAUGUACCAUAUGAAUAAGCAUCGGCUAACUCCGUGCCAGCAGCCGCUGUAAUACGGAGGAUGCGAGCGUUAUCCGGAUUUAUUGGGUUUAAAGGGUGCGUAGGUGGGUAAUUAAGUCAGCGGUGAAAGUGUGUGGCUCAACCAUAAAAUUGCCGUUGAAACUGGGUGACUUGAGGAUGUUUGAGGGUAGCGGAAUGCGUGGUGUAGCGGUGAAAUGCAU